GUCAGGAUGGCCGAGCGGUCUAAGGCGCCAGAUUUAAGCUCUGGUUCUCGAAAGAGAGCGAUUCCAUUAAUACAAUAUUAGGUUCGAACCCCACCCUGACA